rnacentral:rRNA from 1 species
AGUGAACGCUGGCGGCGUGCCUAAUACAUGCAAGUCGAACGAACGAAUAAGAGCUUGCUCUUCUAAGUUAGUGGCGCACGGGUGAGUAAUCUAUAGCUAAUCUGCCUCUUAGUAGAGGAUAACAGUCGGAAACGAUUGCUAAUACUCUAUACUUCUGCUUUACAUAAGUAAAGUAGAGAAAGUUUUUCGCUAAGAGAUGAGGCUAUACUGUAUCAGCUAGUUGGUAAGGUAACGGCUUACCAAGGCUAUGACGCAUAACUGGUCUGAGAGGAUGAUCAGUCACAUUGGAACUGAGACACGGUCCAAACUCCUACGGGAGGCAGCAGUAGGGAAUAUUGCGCAAUGGGGGAAACCCUGACGCAGCAACGCCGCGUGGAGGAUGACACUUUUCGGAGCGUAAACUCCUUUUAUCGGGAAAGAAUAAUGACGGUACCCGAUGAAUAAGCACCGGCUAACUCCGUG